AGUGAACGCUGGCGGUAGGCCUAACACAUGCAAGUCGAACGGCAGCACAGUAAGAGCUUGCUCUUACGGGUGGCGAGUGGCGGACGGGUGAGGAAUACAUCGGAAUCUACUUUUUCGUGGGGGAUAACGUAGGGAAACUUACGCUAAUACCGCAUACGACCUACGGGUGAAAGCAGGGGAUCUUCGGACCUUGCGCGAUUGAAUGCGCCGAUGUCGGAUUAGCUAGUUGGCGGGGUAAAGGCCCACCAAGGCGACGAUCCGUAGCUGGUCUGAGAGGAUGAUCGGCCACACUGGAACUGAGACACGCUCCAGAGUCCUACGGGAGGCAGCAGUGGGGAAUAGUGGACAAUGGUCGCAAGCCUGAUCCAGCCAUACCGCGUGGGUGAAGAAGGCCUUCGGGUUGUAAAGCCCUUUUGUUGGGAAAGAAAAGCAGCAGGUUAAUACCCCGCUGUUCUGACGGUACCCAAAGAAUAAGCACCGGCUAACUUCGUG
rnacentral:rRNA from 1 species